GGAGUAGGGAGAGGGGCGCUUCCAUGGGGCGGGAAACUGGCGCGCGACUCUGGGGGAAGUGCAGGAUGGGGGGACAGGGGCGCUCCCGCGGGGGUGGAUGGGGGACCAUAGCGGGGCUGGCGGGGCAGGGGCCGGCGCACGAGGCUGGAGGAGGGGAGCGCGCACUUCUACCCGGGCUGGGUCGCCGAGUCCACAGCCUCUAAGCCAUGGGUUCUCCCCGGCCCUCUGAAGCCGCCACACCUGUGCCAGCCGGCCGCAUCCUCAGACCUUUCCACACGGAGUCUUCCCAGCACUUGGAAA
rnacentral:lncRNA from 1 species